CUUAGUAGCGGCGAGUGAAGCGGCAAAAGCUCAAAUUUGAAAUCUGGCUCUUUCAGAGUCCGAGUUGUAAUUUGAAGAAGGUAUCUUUGGGUCUGGCUCUUGUCUAUGUUUCUUGGAACAGAACGUCACAGAGGGUGAGAAUCCCGUGCGAUGAGAUGAUCCAGGCCUAUGUAAAGUUCCUUCGAAGAGUCGAGUUGUUUGGGAAUGCAGCUCUAAGUGGGUGGUAAAUUCCAUCUAAAGCUAAAUAUUGGCGAGAGACCGAUAGCGAACAAGUACAGUGAUGGAAAGAUGAAAAGAACUUUGAAAAGAGAGUGAAAAAGUACGUGAAAUUGUUGAAAGGGAAGGGCUUGAGAUCAGACUUGGUAUUUUGUAUGUUACUUCUUCGGGGGUGGCCUCUACAGUUUAUCGGGCCAGCAUCAGUUUGGGCGGUAGGAGAAUUGCGUUGGAAUGUGGCACGGCUUCGGUUGUGUGUUAUAGCCUUCGUCGAUACUGCCAGCCUAGACUGAGGACUGCGGUUUAUACCUAGGAUGUUGGCAUAAUGAUCUUAAGUCGCCCGUCUUGAAACACGGAC
rnacentral:rRNA from 1 species